GGGGGUGAACGGUCUCGACUUUGGAUGUUGAGGCAGGGGAAGCGGGCCGAGGAAGCCGGAAUGAUCUCGUAAACCAAUAAUCCGUGCAAAAAAUAACUGCUGACACAAAUCAGCAAGCUUUCGAACUAGCUGCAUAAGCAAGUAUCGAAGCCGUUAGCCCAGAUGCCGCUCUCGAUCUGGAAUCUAGCGUCGACAGAGAGCUCUUCAUCGCGUUGGUGUUGCGAACAACGUGAGAGAACAGUUUCGCAAAUGAGUUCGUCGAAGAGUCGUGUGGAAAAACUUCGGGACUGAGAAAGCGUUAAUCACACUACGCCCGUAGAAGCCCUGUUUUUGCACCGAAGGACCCGGGUUCGAUUCCCGGCACCUCCACAA
rnacentral:tmRNA from 1 species